GGAGAGGUGGCAGAGUGGCCGAUUGCACCGGUCUUGAAAACCGGCGUGCCGCAAGGUACCGGGAGUUCGAAUCUCCCCCUCUCCG
rnacentral:tRNA from 1 species